UGACCUGUUAGUCAAGUGGUUUAAGACGCUGCGUUCUCAGCGCGGAGACACGGGUUCGAAUCCCGUACAGGCUAU
rnacentral:tRNA from 1 species